rnacentral:rRNA from 1 species
CCUACGGGUGGCUGCAGUGGGGAAUAUUGCACAAUGGGCGAAAGCCUGAUGCAGCGACGCCGCGUGAGGGAUGACGGCCUUCGGGUUGUAAACCUCUUUCAGUAAGGAAGAAGCGAAAGUGACGGUACUUGCAGAAGAAGCGCCGGCUAACUACGUGCCAGCAGCCGCGGUAAUACGUAGGGCGCGAGCGUUAUCCGGAAUUAUUGGGCGUAAAGAGCUCGUAGGCGGUUUGUCGCGUCUGCCGUGAAAGUCCGGGGCGUAACGCCGGAUCUGCGGUGGGUACGGGCAGGCUAGAGUGCAGUAGGGGAGACUGGAAUUCCUGGUGUAGCGGUGAAAUGCGCAGAUAUCAGGAGGAACACCGAUGGCGAAGGCAGGUCUCUGGGCUGUAACUGACGCUGAGGAGCGAAAGCAUGGGUAGCGAACAGGAUUAGAUACCCCUGUAGUC